UAAAAUUGAGUGUGUGGCUGCCCAAGUA
rnacentral:piRNA from 1 species